UUCUUGGUUUCUUCAAUUCACGGCAGCCAAGGCCCGGCCGGUGCAGCGCACUACCACGACAGACUCGGCGGGCACGCACGAGCACGAGCAUGUCGAGUAGCCGAGGAAGAAAAAGCAUGGACAGGCAGCACGUCGGCGUCAAGGUCACCUACAUCGAGACGCAGUUCGUCACCUCCGACGCCGCCGGCUUCAAGGACCUCGUGCAGCGCCUCACCGGGAGGUCCCCCACCGCCGCCUCCGCGCCGGCUCCGGCGGCGCCGCACAGGCCGCGCGCGUGCCGCGCAGGGGAGGGCAGGACGGGCGCUGCAGCCGGAGCUGGGCCGCAGGGCUGCCACUAUUACCAGCAGCCGGCCGGUGGGGUGCGGCCGGCCGCCGUCGUCGCUAGCUGCGCCCCGCCGUGCCAGGAGAAGCUGCUGCUCAGCAUGGACGACGACUUCUCGGACCUGUUCUACGCCGGUGCCAUCGAUCAGCGGCGUCAUGGCCUCAAUGGUGGUUACACCGAUUUUCCACUAUCGAUCGAGACUUACGGCCAUGGUCAGAACUCAGAAGAUUGGCUUUGUCAGAAGAACUAUGAUGUACAAACCAGUUUAUGUGGAGCCAUUCAGUUCAUUUAUUCAUUCUUAGUAUAUAGUGUGUACAUAUGUACUCUGGUUCCCUUGUUUAGAGUACAAUAUUCCUUUGCAAAUCAAAGUUUGGAAGCAAAAGACAGUGUUAGCUCCGAAGAGCUAAAAUUCAGAGUUUAAGCCUUGUGGUCAUUAUGGUGCAUAUAAGAUCAAUUUUGUACUAUAUUUGUGAUGCUAACCAUUACACUAUUUAAACUAUCGGGGAUACUCAUAAGAAUUAUACUAAGUAGAUAUGGAAGGAUUGGUGUGAGGUUGAGUUGGCUAGUAGGUGGAGUAUAAUGCAACACACUAUGAGAUCUUGAGUUUGAAAACCCUUCUCUCUAAAAUUAUAUUAUUUUUGCAAUAUACUUCUAGUCAUCUAGAUGAUAGAGACAUAAUAUUGUGCCAUUACAAGUUGUCUUGCAAAAUAUAGAGACACUUGUAAAAAUAUCUCUUCAUUCAAAGAGACACGUGGCAUCUCUAUGACAUAUUGGAAAACGACUCUAUGACUCUCUAGGGACAACAUAACAUGUCUCUACAGGAUAAAAAUAGUAUCUCUACAUGUGAAACUGUUUUGUAGUGAUACAUUGAUAGUAUAUUUAUUUGAUAUAUUGUAUAUGUUAUGGUCAAAGUUAUACAAAUUCAACUCAAGAAAAAACUAAAAUGACCGAAACACACACAACAGGCAGUGCUUCACUUUUGCCAUUUGGCAUUUCCGUAUUUGGUGUUGUAAUACAGCUUUCCUUGGCUUCCCUCGGAGCAAUAGUUUUUGUUAGCAAUGGCAGUUCGGCCAUACCGGCCAUUCUUCACUGAUUCCAUCAUACAACUGCUAAUGCUAGUCUCAUGGCAAGAAGAAACGGAAACAUACUGUUUAUGGUGCCGCAAACAUCUGUUUUCAACCUCUGUUUCUAAAUAUUUGGUAGUUCUGAUCAAAACACGAUUACUAAGGAACACACAUUUUAAGGAUAAAACAAAGCAGUCAAACUGACAAGUAUUUGAAAAUAGAGGCUAAUAUAAAUGGUGUGUGAUGAUCAAUAAACUCUGUGCUUGUCAUUUUAUUUCCUUUGGCUGAAUUGUCGAGAAUGUGUAUGGUACACAUCACUACAAAAUAUAUAAUAUUUACUAGUUUUUAAUGAGUGUCCAACAAUUUUAAUGGUUGGUACUAUUUUUUUCUAGUGUAUGAUGCAUCUUUCCUAAUAAUUUUAUCAAAUGGCCAACAAUGUAUACCUGACACACUUAUUUUUUAUUCAUAAUUAUGAUAGGGUUUUAUCCAAAUAUAAUAUAAUAGAAACCAUUAGCAAGUGUAAGCGAGCAUUUCAGAAGGAACUUGAGCAACAUUUCUUUUCAAUUUCCAUUCAUGAGUUUCUGUAUGUUCAUCUAAAAAAGAAAAACGGUAAUGCUUAGAUUUUGACGUCCAGCAGGAUUAAAAAUAUCGGAUGCUAGUCCACGGUCCUUACCUUUACUCCGAGCGAAGCGAUAGCGGCUUCUUUCCUCAUUCUUAUCCACUCGUUCCUCAUCCUCGUAUCCUCCACCUCAAGUCUCCAUUAACAGCACUGCCCGCACCACCACUUCCUCGAGCUCCCCUCAUCUCAGCAGCCACACAUAUGGUGCGGCGCCGCCAUCAUGUGGCACCUUGCCGGUGCGUUCCCCGCUCCUCUGCCCUCGCCGCGUGCAGCCACGCUGCUAGAUUCCUCCCCAUCCUCAGCUACACGUCACCAGAUUCGAUCAAGCCCGCGCUAGCAUUCCCACCUGCGUUCCUCGACGAGCGGUCGGGUGAUUUCUCGUGGCGGAGCCUUGCAAGGUGAGCGUCGGCGACGCGGGAGGUUGUGCCCGAUAAGUAGCAACAUGGGCCGCCAAGCUGCUUGAGAUGGGAUGUGCGACGAGAGGUAAUCGAAGGAGCAAGACGGUGACAACGGCCUGACUUGGUAGAUAUAAUGUUGCAAUAAUUAAUUUUCGAUAUUGCUUUAUAUCAUUUUUCAUGUGGCGAUAGGUGAUUUUGGAUGUUGUAGAAAAAUUAAUCAAGAUGUGGUUACAAAGUUGUUUGCUAAUGUUGCAACAAAAGAUACUUUUGUUAUGUUAGUAUUUUCUCGAUGUUGCAUAAGGUGUUCUUAGAGUUUGAAAUGUAUGCAUAUUGUGAUGUUGUUGGCUUUUUUAUGCUUCUUCUAUUGAUUCUUUAUGUUGCAGUGUUUUGUUUGUAGUGUGUCAUUAUAUGCGUUUAAACUUUCCUACCAUGAUUUGCAUGAAAAUGUUGCAAGAAACAACCAAUGAUGUUAUGGUGGGAAUUUUUAUCUAGAAAUAUAUAGAUAUAUUUUCUCAUAUGUCUCGAUAUUGCAAACAUGGAUUUUCGAUGUUGCAAGUGUUUUAUUUUGAUGUUGCAACGAAUCAUGUGAUGGGAAAACUUCCCAUCCGACGUCCGAACGCUAGCAGUGUUGAAAGAAAAAAAAGAAUGCAAAAGUUUUUAGAAAUCCUUAUCUGAGGAAAAAUUAGUACUUUUAUGGUGUACUGGUACGCACCAUUUUUAUUGGACUGAAAAUACGGUCUCACAUUCUGCUAUAUAUAGGGCUCGUUUGGUAGGGUUGCGUCUAUGGCUGAAACGGCUGCGGCUGUAGCUUCUUCGAUGAAACAGCCUUUUUUAGCUUCAGCUUGUCUGGAUGGAAACACGUUUGGCAAAACGGCUUCUCCUACAUGCGUAACAUGGAUAAAAAAUAUAAAAUGUCCAUAAUACCCUUCCUUUUUUUCUUUCCUUUUUCUUUUUUCUCCCUUCCUUUUUUUGUCUUUCCUUCAUUUAUUUAACUUUCUUUCCUCACGCAACGCCAGCCGCAGCCCAGUGCCUUAUCCACUCGCUUCCAUCCGCUUGAGAGCCGGCCUUAUCCACUCGCCCCUGCUUUUCUAUGCUCUACCGUCGCCCUAGCGCCUCCGCUCCACUGCCAGCACCUAGCGCCGCCGUCCGCUGCCCCACGACGCCAGCUCCCAGCACCACCAGCCUGCCGGCCCUAGCGCCGCCUCACUCCGCCUCGCACCCUACGGCCCCAGCGUCGCCGUACUCCACCUCGCGCCCUACGGCCCCAGCGCCGCCAUCGACCGCCCAGCGUCGCCGUCUGCCGACCCCAGCGCUGCCUCCCUUCGCCGCGAGUCAUGGUGGGCAAGAAGGUCAGUUGUCCUGCGGCCGAGGGUAAAGCCGUGGGGAGCCAAUUUUUUUGACUUCUCCUCCACCAAAGGGCUCCAGAGAGCGGAUUUCCCAGAGCUCCUGGACGGGAGCCGUUUUGUUCGUGCUCCUUUAGUAGAGCUUCGGCUUCUGAUGAUGGAGAAGCCGCAGCCAAAGCCCUACCAAAGGAACCCACAGUUUCCGAUGAGGCGUUUUCCCCGUUUCUCCACCAUCGUCUCCGAGGAUCUUCGUUAUCGUGCUUUCAUCGGUCGUACGAUACGCAUACCGCGCCGCACGAGCGCUUGACCGUCUCCCUAUCCAGUCCCCAAAAGUUGACCGUUGCCACUGACUCCCUCUCCCUCCCCCUCCUUACCUGCAGGCUGCGAAAGGCCCGGCGACCGGUCAAACCAGCACCUCAACUUGCUUCCUGUAGCGCUCAGUGCGCCGCAUCGGCGCGACCGCAUGACCAAACCCCCACCCUCUCCCCGUCUCACCGCCAUGCGGGUCCCACUACCUUUUAGCCCCACGUGCCACUGUCCAGGAACUAUCGGCGCCGGCAACUUGCAAACCUACCAGAGAUUCAGAAUAGGUCUUCGCUCAGCCACAUCCUAUAAAUACAGCCCCAAAAAAAGAAGCUUUUCAUCCACUACCACCACCCCAGCUCAGCCAAGCUUCUUCCACGCGAGCCAAGUCUGCGAGGCGAAGCCCACGGUGCGGCGCGCUGCCACGACAGCUGCAGAGUAGAGAGACGUCGAGCGAGCAGUGAAGGGAAGAGGAAGCGAAGCAUGGACGGCGUCAAGGUCACCUACAUCGAGACGCGGUUCGUCACCUCCGACGCCGCCGGCUUCAAGGACCUCGUGCAGCGCCUCACCGGGAGGUCCCCCACCGCCGCCGGGGCUGCGGCGGCGCCGCACAGGCCGGGCGCGUGCCGCGCCACCACCACCGACUGCGGGAGGAGCGCGACCGGCACGCAGGGAUGCUACUACCACGCGUCCGCGUCGUCGUCGUCACCGGCGGCGAACGAGGCGCGCGUCGGUGGCGGCCGCCUCGCGCCGCCGUUCCUGGACGAGACGUACGGCGUCGGAGACUUCGCCGGCCUGCUCUAUGGCAGCGCCAGCCAAAACGCACAGUGGGGGUGUUGAAGACAAAUCAGCCUGAGUGCUGGGGGCGUUUAGUUUCUCGUGUCACAUUGAAUGUAAUUCGGAGGUUAAUUAGGAGAACUAAAUAUGAAUUAAUUAUAAAACUAAUUGCACAGAUGGAGGUUAAACGGCGAGAUAAAUCUAUUAAACCUAAUUAAUCCAUCAUUAGCAAAUGGUUACUGUAGCAGCACAUUGUCAAAUCAUGGACUAAUUAGGCUUAAUAGAUUCGUCUCGCCGUUUAGCCUCCAUCCGUGUAAUGAGUUUUGUAAAUAGUCUACAUUUAACACUCUUAAUCAGUAUCUAAAUAUUCGAUGUGACGGGUGCUAGAGAAGCUAUUCGCUUACCUGGAAACUCACAGCAUGGCCAAGCGUAGCAGUUGAUUAGUUGCCUUGACAUUUAGCUGGCGCUGCACCUCUUCUCUCUUAGGCUGUCCGCACUCGUCAUACUCUAUUUUCAUACUUAAAAGGAAUAUUCUAUUCUAGUUAUCGAGAUUCUUUCCUCCAUAUUAAUUUCUCCUGAACCCGUGUUACUCUAUAUGUAAUCCUCUAUGCCAACUACUCCAUAUUUUAUUCACCCCUCUCCCCUCUCUCUCUCCCCCAACCGUUCCCUUCCCCUUCUCUUCCCCCCAUCUCCCGACGCCUCGCCUCCUGGGCUGUGGGCCUCCUCCCCGCCGGCCCCCCUCCCCCUCCUCCACGGUCCGAUCCUCCUCCCCGCCGGCCCCAAUGCGCCAAUCAAACAUCGGAAAACCCCUCGUGCCCGCGGUUCACCUACUCCUCUAUUUCUUUCACCAAAGCCCCCUCACCUUCUUCUUCCUCCUCUCCUCUUCCUCCCCGACGAUCCGCUGCCGGCGGCUGUUUACUCCACCUUGGUGACUACCCCGUGAGCUCCUCUUCAUAUAGGCGCACCCUCUCCCCCACUACUUCCCCCGAAACCCUACCCUAAUACUUCCCUCAGUGAGCGGCGGCACUCCGGUGGCGAGCGGUGGAACACGCGCGGAAACUCAAACGGCUUGACUCAAAGGCUUAGCGCAUCAUGACCAGGGGCUCACCACAGCUCUUUUUGGGUAGUUGGUCGGAGAAGAGAGGGCCGGGAAGGUGGGCGUCAAUGGUGAGGUGGGUGGUGGCGGGUGGUGGCAAUGGUGGGCGCAGGGGAUUCAAUCCUCUGACGCCAGAGGCCAUGGUACAGGGCAAACAGAGGUGAAGGACGUACCUGUUCCGGUGAGUAGUGUGGGUGGCAGAGAUUUGGAAAUGGGGAAGGGGAAUGNNNNNNNNNNNNNNNNNNNNNNNNNNNNNNNNNNNNNNNNNNNNNNNNNNNNNNNNNNNNNNNNNNNNNNNNNNNNNNNNNNNNNNNNNNNNNNNNNNNNNNNNNNNNNNNNNNNNNNNNNNNNNNNNNNNNNNNNNNNNNNNNNNNNNNNNNNNNNNNNNNNNNNNNNNNNNNNNNNNNNNNNNNNNNNNNNNNNNNNNNNNNNNNNNNNNNNNNNNNNNNNNNNNNNNNNNNNNNNNNNNNNNNNNNNNNNNNNNNNNNNNNNNNNNNNNNNNNNNNNNNNNNNNNNNNNNNNNNNNNNNNNNNNNNNNNNNNNNNNNNNNNNNNNNNNNNNNNNNNNNNNNNNNNNNNNNNNNNNNNNNNNNNNNNNNNNNNNNNNNNAGCUCGUGGCCGCCGCCAAGGUCCAGCGCGCGCAGGAGGCCGUCGUCUCCUCCCGCCCCUUCUCGGAGGCGCUCAUGGAGGUCCUCUAAAACAUGAACCAGGAGAUCCAGACGAAGGACAUCGACCUGCCGCUCACCUGCACCCGCCCCGUCAAGAAAGUGGCCCUCGUGGUCCUCACCCGCGAGCGCGGCCUCUAUGGCAGCUUCAACAACAACGUGCUCAAAAGGCGGACACCCGCAUCGAUGAGCUCAAGCAGCUGGGCCUCGCGCGGCGGCGGUCCGACGGCGGAGUUCCGAGCGGAGGCGCAAGGGGGAAGUCGUUGGGGCAGCAGCCUCGGGAGGCGCGUAGCGGGCGUCUUGGGCUUCCACUAGGAGUAGCGGACGGGGUGGCCGUCCGCUUGGGAGAGGAAGCCUCGCAGUACCGCGGUGCGGGAUUUUUUCCGCUAUCGCUGUACCGGAGGACGGUUUGCAGUGUCCCGGUGCGGACAACCUUAUCCCGCCCACCUCCCGUGCUCCUAUGAGCCUGGCCCGGAAGAAACGAGCAAUUCUCCGUAUCUUUGGAGCUUGGCUGACGAGGGAAUCUCGCGUCGUGCGGGACAGGCUUGAACACUGCUGUACCCAUCCAAUCACAUGUUGCCUGCAUGCCGAGAGCCUGGCUCAGCUGAAACCAGCCAACCAAUCAGGCCCCAGGCGGUCUGACCAGUCCGGACCUGACAACCUGCAAUCGGUCUGACGGGGUACGGACGGUCUGAUCGGUCCAACCUACUUUUGAGUAGAUUUGAGAAAGAUUUGAGAAACCUACGCCAUGUUUAGUUACUCCCAACUCCCAACUUUGACACUAUGCAAAAAGAAGAUUCCCCAUCACAUCAAACUUGCGGUACAUGCAUGGAGUACUAAAUGUAGAUGAAAUUAAAAACUAAUUGCACAGUUUUGUUGUACUUUGCGAGACGAAUCUUUUGAGCCUAAUUAGUCAAUAUUUGGACAAUAAUUCACAAAUACAAACGAAACGCUACAGUGUGCUACAGUGCUGUAACAGUAAUUUGGCACCUCCCAAAUUCCCUAACUAAACAAGGCCCUACUUUGAGUAGAUUUGAGAAAGAUUUGAGAAAUCUUUUGAUGUAUGUAGAUUAAUAUUUGUAAAACGAUUUCCUUGUGAGGUAAGAUCUUCCCACCCUAGAAAUAUAAAGGGUCGCGGCUGAUUGAGCCUAACACCCAAUCGAACAAAAUAUUUAAUUUACUUUUAUCUCCAAACCCUAAUUUUUUCUAACUUCUUGCUUUUCUCUUUCGUCUUGACAGCGGCUGAGGAAGUUCCGAGUGGCCUACUGAUAUCAGAGCAACCCUAAGCGCAUCAUCCCUGAUGCCUGAUGGGUCCCUCCCGGAAAGCGUCAACAGGGGGCAUUGUGGAUGUUACAGUGAUUAUUUUCCCUAUUGAUCUACAUUUUGGCUUCUUAUUGUUAGAAAUAUGUCUGUACAAAAUCAUUUCUACGUGCAGCCAUUGUUUUUUCAGUAUAGUCCAUAGCAGCCAUUUCUACUUUCUGUAGUGCAAGUUUUGAACGAAACGAAGGUGAAUUUUGGCAUCGCAAGACUAUGGGAAUGAACUGGCUCCAGUUUCAUUCAAACAUAUAACUGCCUCGCAUAAAAAAACAAACAGCCUUUGCUUUAAAGAUAUCCGUCAUCCAUAUUAUCAUUCCUUUCAAGUCAGAGACGAUAUAUUUAUGCCGACAAACUGACAGCAGCAUAACACGCAUAUGCUGCUAAUUCGCUACAAAGUUGGAGCAUUAUAGAAAACUUCUAUCAAGUUACCAGCAGAUCAGAACCGUAGUUUUCAUCUGAAGAAAUUAGAUCCACUCAUGAAAUCAUGAGCCAUAACUCAUGAGAUCUGAUCAUACCAUACCCAAAAGACGGGGAAGUUCAAGAAAGUACUCUAGCAGUGCAGCUAAACCAAUCCGUAAACUGAGGGUCCACCAAACAUUUCCCAGUUUGUUUAGCUGUCGCAGCUUGGUGAAACGUAAGAGCUGAUGCUCUAGAUGAGAUCAGCAUUCUUUACAGCUGAUAACUACUUAACCAGAGUGCCUAGCCGAUACUAUUUCCUAGCUACAUAUAUAUGUUGUAACAUCACUGCUAAGGGAUCAAAACUUUGCUUGAUUGCGUGGUUACAUUGAGCAUUCGUCGAUCUUGCUUUUGGUCAGCUGAAAUGCUGGAAUCACCCAGGCUCCGCAGCAGCACUGCAUACCGGCCCAGUUGAAUUGUCCAAGACGAGCUUUGCAUCCCAUGCAAAAGAGCUUAUUCGCAACAUAUCCUUCUUCCACUGCAAAUAGUAUAUACAGAAAUAUCAGAGGUUUAUGACUAAUGCUCUAAAAAGAAAGAGGUAAAACCAUCAUGUAAAAGAAACUGACCAGUUUGCAUCCACUUCAUCGGCUCCACAUAGAUGCAGGGACAUUCAGGUUUUUUGUCAUCAUCAUCCACAGACCGUUUGCCUCGGUUGAAGCACUUUCCACCCGCACCUACUUCAUGGGUAACAACAAAUUCUUGAGUUGCAAGCAUUCUCCGACAUUUUUUGCAGCGGUAGAUAACACCUGGAUCAGAAGUUCGUUUUUCUGGGUUGACAUCAGAUUCUGCAGAUGUCUCCUGACAUGUUUCUGUAGGCUUUUGAUUAACCUCCAAUCCUGCUUCCCGAUCAGCUUUCUUGUCUGGGAUGAUAUCAGUUUCCACCACUGUGUCCAGACAUGUUUCCAUUGGCUCUUCAUUGACCUUGGAUCCUGAAAGCUCAUCAGUUUCCUUUUCUGGGUUAAUAUCGGUUUCCACAGGAUUUUGAUCCACCUUUGGUCCUGGCUUCUGUUGAAUUACCGGUUCUGGUGCCUGACUGGUUUCCACCUCCUUCAAACCACAUAAUAUCAGUUGUACGAAAUUUACAUGCUGACAUGAUACAACCAUACGGUACAUUAUAUAAAUUAACUUACCAUUUUGUUUAAACUUGAAAUUAAAGCCUCCAUAACCGUACUGAAAAUCGAUUGGAUGUUGCUCACACCUGCAGUGUUCACAGACAGAAAUAAGAGACCAUGAAUAGCACAGGUAACAUUUAAAGCAAAAAAAGUUCCUUGCAUACUGCAAUUAGACAAAAAAUUUAAGAUGUAAGUAUGUAACUGCUCACAUAUAAUUCAUGUAUCCUCAUAUAGUUAUGGAACCCUAAUAUUCAGCUACCCUUAGCACCAUUUAUUUGUUAAGGACAUGACCUGUAGAAAAUACAUUCCAUAACUUGCAGAAGCACAGUCCCUCUGUGACGUAUGUGCACCAUUGUUUUGUGAUUGGACUGAAACUCGUCAUGACAUUGUGUGCUGCGACAACCCCAUGAAUGUUAUAUAUCCUCUGAAUAGUUUCUCUGAAGCAGUAUUAAACACAAUCCUAAGUUCCUAACAAUUGAAGUCAUGCAGCAAUGCCAAGUACAGUACGUAUUUUGACUAAAACCAUGUACAAGAAACUUAGCAGUACCAAGGAUUUUAUCAGACUUUACGCCUCCGAGUAGACUGUAAAUUAUCUAGCAAUAAUGUCCAUUUGGUUCAAAAGGUGUUUUUUUAAAAAAAAAUGAACACACUGUAUAAUUCACAGCUACAGUCAUCAGGCCUAUGCAGCACAGAUCAUCUAAGACCAAAAUGUCCAGUUGAAUCAUAGCGCAAAUUAUAUCCUACAUUUCCUUUGUACCACUAAUUUCUGAUAAACCAAAGAGCUUGUAUACAAACCAACAAGCCAUACCAACGAUUCCUUCCAGUGGAUUCAGAAUGUCCCAAUCAAGCAAUCAUGGAGCCUCCAACAGACUGAAGCACUGCAAGGUUCUAGGUCGGUUGUUCAGGAUCUCCAAAGCUAUCGAACCCCAAAACCUCACCUAAACCCAACCACAAGACGCAGGGCUGGGCAUAGCGCGCGUCAUGCCGGUAUAAAUUGAGCCCCAGAAAAUAUUCCACGAAAUAAUUUAGACCCGCACCCUGGAUCCCAGUCCUUAGGGCAUCAGCUGAGACCCACCGAUUUCGCGCGCCCUAAAUAAGAUGAUGAAGAAGCCUAAUCGAACAGCCAUGGAUGGACGGAAACAAAUUACGCUGCUAAAUGAUGCGCGCGCGGAAACCGGGUUGGACCGAUUACUCUCACGGCAAUUGAAACACCUCCCAGAAAAAACGCAAUUAGACGGGGGGAAAUCCGUCGAGCGAGUUAGGGUUCCUUACCAACGGUCCAAAUCGAUCGCAGGCGUGGAUGGAUUCGUCCACUCCGCGCCAACCCGAAACCGGUGGGGGCGGAGGAGGAGCACGGCGAGUCGACGACGACGACAGGAGUGCGACGGCUUCCUGGGACUUGGGAGUGGAGUGGAUUGGAGGCUAGUUUAUUAGGCGGCGCGGCGCGGGGAAGAGGACUUGAGGACGGCACGGACAGGAAACGUACGUGUACAUGGCCGUAUCCGACCUUUCUUCCAUUUUGACAGACGCGAAUUAGACGGAGAUUAGAUAUUGUGUUUCCCAAAAUAAAAGUUGUAUCAAUAAUAAUGGCAUUUCACAUAUAUUUUGAUACAAAUGUUAUUUGAUAACAUAUUCUAAGAGCAUUGUCAAAGCUAAUUCAAACACGUCCAUAAUAUGCUACGUAUAAAGAAAAUAAGGUACUACGAAUUCGCAAAAAGAAAAGCAUUCUGGCGUGUAAAAAUAAUUGUAUUACCUCAAAUGCUACUGCAGUUUUGUAAAUUUUUAGGACGUUUGACACUGAUAACAUGAAUCCACAAGCCCAACAAGUGUUCUGGUGUGCACAUUGCCGAUCCAUCAAGCGGGCGCAAAAUACGUAACACUCGUAUCUAGGAAAGUUUCUAGUUCUAGUUGAUAAAAGGAGGUGAUACAGUAAAAUACAAUGCCAAAACAUAAUUCGAACGUUCGGCACGGUAUAUACCAUUUUCAGAAUCUUUUAGACACAUGGAUAUAAAGUCUAAAGAGUGAGGUAACAACUGUCCAGAUACAAAAUCAGCAUCCUGUUCAAAGAGUUCGGAUAUAGCUGCUCAAAAUGGGGGAGAAGAUCAAGCUCCUCGUCUCGUGAUACAGCUCGCUCUUUUCCUUGUCCUAAACACUUCUAGUCAGUACUCAGUAGUCACCAAAAGGGUCUCAAUAACCGUUUUCAGAUUGAAUUCAUUGUCCAAUGACAAAACGAACUCGGGCACAUGGUUCAGCUUAUCGCACGUUACAAUGCCAACACCAAAAGAUGGAGUAGCCUGAGAGAGCAUCAAGAUGAUUUUCGCCACUUGCCAAACCAUAUCCUUCAAAGAUGAGAGAAAAACUUAGCAUGUAUCAAGAUCACUGACAGACUGCUAGCAAAACUGAGGAAAUUAACUAAUGUUUCCAGGAUGAUCACAGUGGAUGUUGUCUACAAUCCAUCAAGCGACGUUGAAUGGUGCUAUUUUCAUGUCACCAAUCAAACUAGUUUUCUAUAUAUUACUGAAUUGUAAACGAAGUUUGACACACCAUGCAUUUCUGAAUGGAGGGAGUCUUUUGCAAAUAUGACUAACUCAACCCUAAGAUAUUGUAUCACUUAAUCAGUCCAUCUAAUUGACAAAGUUGCACAUCAUUAACAGUCCCGUAAUCUUGAAAGACUCAAAAGUGGGAUAAGAAUCAUGCAUAGUAAAAACCAGUAGCAUAUUCUUGAAAGACUCAAGCCUAACAUAUAGCAUAAGUUUUGAUCUAUCUUCUACAAAAGGUGAAAAUGAACACAAAGCCCAACACGUUCAUGCCAAAACAUAACUGGCUUAAUGCAAGACAUGGCAAGGAAUGAUUUCAAGAAUAAAACAUUAAAUUGGAGGGAAAUUGCCCCUUCCAUCAAAUUCAUUUCCUAAACAUUGCUCGAUAAAGCAGUAAAGUGCAUCAGUUAAAAUAUAGAGUAGGUACUCCUUACACGGUUUUAUUGGCAACUGAUAGCUAAAGCAAAAAAAAAAGAAAAAAGAAAACAGAGAGAGGUGCUAUGGAGAUGUGCAGUGAUAAAUAUAUUAUCUAGGGAUAAAGCACACAAAAUGGUUCCAUGGUGUAGUGGUUAUCACUCCAGACUUUGAAUCUGGCAACCUGGGUUCGAAUCCCGGUGGGACCUACCCUCUUUACAUAAAAAGAGAAUUUGUGACAUGCCAUUCAAAAGAUUCAAACUUUUGGAAAAACCAAAUUAGCUUUUCCUGGUUCACUUUAAUACCAUCCAAAAACUUUUCAUCGUUUGCUCCAGAAUUUAGUCCAUUGCAUGCUUAACAUACCAGGGAUAGAAAACGUAGUAGGAAACAGUGAGAUGUAGAUCGGCUAGCAUUUGUGACUUUCCAUCCUACAGGCGGGAUUAAGACGGAGGCAACAGGAGUUCGCAAAAAAUGGAACAUGAGUAGGUUAGCUCGUUUGAAGAGAAACAACAUAAUCUGAGAGUGAGACAGAAGAUAAGCGAGUUGGGUAACUCUGACAACAAUGAAUGGUGCUGUAAUGCAAGUUCGACACACCACACAUUUCUGAAUGAAUUGCAAAUAUGUCUCACUCAAGCCAAGAUAUUGCAUUUCUUAAUCAGUCCAUUGACACAGUAGAACAAAUUAACAAAAUUGUGUCAUUAACAGCCCCAUAAUGUUGACAGACUCAAAAGUAGGAAAGAAUCUAUAAUAAAUCCCAGUAGCAUGACAAAAAAAAGGUGAAAACAGAUGCAAGCACAAGUUCAUGCCAAAACUCAACAGUCUGACUGCAGAUAUGGUAUUGAAUAUAUUAAAAAAUAAAUGUUGAAUUGGAGAGGAAUUAACCCUUCAGUCAAAUUCACUUACUAAAAAGUGCUCAAUAAAGCAGCGAGGUGCAUUAGUUAAAAUACAGAUAUUAGCUUAUUGCUUCCAUUUUAUUGGGAAAGGCUAGCAGAAGAAAACAAAAAUGGUUCUAGGGGGAUGUCUUAUGAUAAAUAUAUUACCUAGGGAGAAAACACACAAAAUGGUUCCAUGGUGUAGUGGUUAUCACUCCAGACUUUGAAUCUGGCAACCUGGGUUCGAAUCCCGGUGGGACCUGCCCUUUUUAACAUAAAGAGAAUUUGUGAGGUGCCAUUCAAAAGAUCCAAACUUUUGAAAAAACUCAAUUAGCUUUUCCAGGUUCAUUUUAAAACCAUUAUCAUACUUUUCAUCAUUUGCUCCAGUAUUUAGUCCAUUGCAUGCUUAAUGUACUUGGGAUAGAGAAUGUAGUAGGAAACAGCGAGAUGUAGAUUGGGCAAGGAUUCAUGGCCUUCCAUCCUACAGGUGGGAUUAAGAUGAAGGUGACAGGAACUGCGCACAAAAUAGAACAUGAGUAGGACAGCUUGGCUGGAGACAAACAACAUACUUGAGAGUGAAACACGAGAUAAGCAAGUUGGGUACUCAUGACAAUGAAUGGUGCUAUUUUCAUGUGACAAAAAAGAUAAUUUUCUACUCCCUCCGUUUCAAAAUGUAGGUCGUUUUGGCUUUUCUAGAUACAUAGAUUUUGCUAUGUAUCUAGACAUAACCCUAUAUUUAGAUGCAUAGCAAAACCUAUGUAUCUAGAAAACCCAAAACGACCUAGAUUUUGGAACAGAGGUAGUAUAUAUUACUGAUCUGUAAUAGAAAUUUGACACACCAUGCCUUUCUGAAUGAAUUGCAAAUAUGUCUCCCUCAAGCCAAGAUAUUGCAUUUCUUAAUCAGUCCACUGACACAGUACAACUAAUUAACAACAUCAUGUGUCAUUAACAGCCCCCUAAUCUUUAUAGACUCAAAUGUAGGAAAGGAUCUAUAAUAAAACCCAGUAGCUGGCAUAACCAAAAUAAAGGUGAAAAAACAUUCGGAAUGCAGAUAUGGCAUUGGAUAUUUUAAAAAAAAUAAAAUGUUGAAUUGGAGAGUUAUCCCUUCAGUCAAAUUCACUUCCUAAAAAGUGCUCAAAAAACAGCAAGGUGCAUUACUUAAAAUACAGAUAUUAGCUUAUUACUUUUUUUUGUGAAAGGCUAGCAGAAGAAAACAAAAAUGGUUCUAGGAGGAUGUGCUAUGAUAAAUAUAUUACCUAGGGAAACAAAAAAACAUAAAAUGGUUCCAUGGUGUAGUGGUUAUCACUCCAGACUUUGAAUCUGGCAACCUGGGUUCGAAUCCCGGUGGGACCUGCCCUUUUUACAUAAAAAGAGAAUUUGUGACAUGCCAUUCAAAAGAUCCAAACUUUUGGGAAAACUCAAUUAGCUUUACCAGGAUACUUUUCAUCAUUUGCUCCAGUAUUUAGUCCAUUGCAUGCUUAACAUACAUGGGAUACAUAAUGUAGUAGGAAACAGCAAGAUGUAGAUUGGCAAGGAUUCAUGGCCUUCCAUCCUACAGGAGGGAUUAAGAUGGAGGUGACAAGAGUUGCACACAAAAUGGAACACGAGCAGGACAGCUUGGCUGGAGACAAACAACAUACUUGUGACUUGAGAGUGAAACACGGGAUAAGCAAGUUGGGUAACUCUUAUGACAAUGAAUGGUGCUAUUUCCAUAUGACCAAAAAAAUAUAUAUAUUACUGAUCUGUAAUGAAAAUUUGACACACCAUGCCUUUCUGAAUGAAUUGCAAAUAUGUCUCCCUCAAGCCAAGAUAUUGCAAUUCUUAAUCAGUUCAUUGUCAUGGUACAACCAAAUGACAACGGCAUGUGUCAUUAACAGCCCCAUAGUCUUGAUAGACUCAAAAACAGGAAAGAAUUAUGGUAAAACCCAGUAGCUGGCAUAGCACGAAAAAGGUGAAAAUGGAUGCAAGCAAAAGUUCAUGCCAAAACUCAAGAGUCUGACUGCAGAUCUGGCAAUGAAUGUUUUUUAAAGAAAAACAUGUUGAAUUGGAGAGGAAGUAUCCAUUCAGUCAAAUUCACUUCCUAAACAGUGCUCAAUAAAGCAGCAAGGUGCAUCACUUAAAAUACAGAUAUUAGCCUAUUCCUUGCAAUCUAUUGGGAAAGGCUAGCAGAAGAAAACAAAAACGGUUCUAAGGGGUGUGCUAUGAUAAAUAUAUUACUUAGGGAGAAAGAAAUAAAAUGGUUCCAUGGUGUAGUGGUUAUCACUCCAGACUUUGAAUCUGGCAACCUGGGUUCGAAUCCCGGUGGGACCUUCCCCUUUUUUACAUAAAAAGAGAAUUUGUGGUAUGUCAUUCAAAAGAUCCAAACGUUUUGAAAACCCCAAUUAGCUUUUCCAGGUUCACUUUAAAACCAUUCAGAAACUUUUUAUCAUCUGCUCCAGUAAUUAGUCCAUUGCAUGCUUAAUGUAUUUGGGAUAGAGAACGUCAUAGGAAACAGCUGAGACAUAGAUCAGCAAGGACUUGUGGCCUUCCAUCCUACAGGCGGGAUUAAGAUGGGAGGUGACAGGAGUUGCGCACAAAAUGGAACAUGAGUAGGAUAGCUUGGCAGGAGACAAACAACAUACUUGAGAGUGAGACAGUAGAUAAGCAGGUUGGAUAACUCUCAUGACAAUGAAUGGUGCUAUUUCCAUGUGACCGGGAAAGAAUAAUUUUCCAUAUAUUACUGAUCUGUAAUGGAAGUUUGACACACCAUGCCUUUCUGAAUGAAUUGCAAAUAUUUCUCACUAAAGCCAAGAUAUUGCAUUUCUUAAUCAGUUCGUUGGCAUGGGACAGCUAGUUGAUAAAUUUGUGCAUCAUUAACAGCCCAUAAUCUUGAUAGACUCAAAAGCAGGAAAGAAUCAGGUAUAGCAAACACAGUAGCCGGCAUAACACGAAAAAGGUGAAAAUGAAUGCAAGCGGAAGUUCGAGCCAAAACCCAACAGUCUGACUGCAGAUAUGGCAAUGAAUGAUUUUAAGAAACAUGUUGAAUUGGAGAGGAAGUAUCCAUUCAGUCAAAUUUACUUCCUAAAUAGUGCGCAAUAAAGUAGUAAGGUGCAUCAGUUAACAUACAGAUAUUAGACUAUUCCUUGCAAUUUAUUAGGAAAGGCUAGCAGAAGAAAACAAAAAUGGUUCAAGUGGGACGUGCUAUGAUAAAUAUAUUACCUAAGGAGAAAACGCAUCAAAUGGUUCCAUGGUGUAGUGGUUAUCACUCCAGACUUUGAAUCUGGCAACCUGGGUUCGAAUCCCGGUGGGACCUACCCUUUUUUUAACAUAAAAAGAGAAUUUGUGAUAUGCCAUUCCAAAGAUCCAAACUUUUGGAAAAAUUAAAUUAGCUUUUCCUGGUUCACUUUAAUACCAUUCAGAAACUUUCCAUCGUUUGCUCCACUAUUUCGUCCAUUGCAUGCUUAAUGCGCUUGGGAUAGAUGACAUAGUAGGAAACAGCAAGAUCUAGAUUGGCAAGGAUUAGUGGCCUUCCAUCCUACAGGCAGGAUUAAGAUGGAGGCGACAGGAGUUGCACACAAAAUGAAACAUGAGUAGGACAGCUUGGCUGGAGACAAACAACAUACUUGAGAGUGAGGAAGGAGAUAAGCAAGUUGGAUAAUUCUCACGACAAUGAAUGGUGCUAUUUCCAUGUGACCAAUAAAAGUAGUUUACUAUAUAUGACUGAUAUGUAAUAGAAGUUUGCACCACCAUGCAUUUCUGAAUGAAUUGCAAUUAUGUCUCACCCAUGCAAAGAUAUUGCAUUUCUUAAUCAGUUCAUUGACAUGGUACAAGUAAUUGACAAAGUCGUGCGUCAUUAACAACCCCAUAAUAUUGAUAAACUCAAAGCAGGAAAGAAUCAGGUGUAGUAAAGCACAGUAGAUGGCACGCAUAAUAAAAUAAUGGUGAAAAUGGAUGCAAGCACAAGUUCAUGCCAAAACUCAACACUCUAACUGCAGAUAUGGCAAUGAAUGAUUUAAAAAGGACAAAAUGAUGAAUGGGAGAGAACCCUUCAGUAAAAUUCACUUCCUAAAUGGUACUCAACAAAGCAGCAAGGUGUUUCAGUUAAAAUACAGAAAUUAGCCUAUUCUGUGAGAUUUAUUGGAAAUGGCUAGCAGAAUAAAUAAAAUGGCGCAAGAGAUUUGUUAUGAUAAAUAUAUUAUCUUGGGAGAAAACACAUAAAAUGGUUCCAUGGUGUAGUGGUUAUCACUCCAGACUUUGAAUCUGGUAACCUGGGUUCAAAUCCCGGUGGGACCUACUUUCUUUUGACAAAAAGGGAAUAGAGAUAUUUACUCAAAAAGUCCAACCUUUUGAAAAAUACAAUUAUAUUUAUCUGGUUUGCUCCAUUCCUUUAAUCUAUUGCAUGUUUUAUGAGCCCGGGGUAGGGAACGCACUAGGAAGGUGAGAUGUAGAUAAGCAUGGUUUAAUAGCCAUGCCCCUUUCACCCUGCAACUGGGUUGGCAUGGAGGGGAUAGGAUUGCGCACAAUAAGGAACUGUAAUAGGACAGCUUAGAUGCAGAGAAAUGGCAUACAUGUGACACACAGAGGGAGAUAAAAAAGUUGGUUGAUUCCUUUUGUUUUCUUCCUCUGCGAAAAUCUCAUCCCACUAAUUACAUAUGGAUCUAGCAAACUUAGCCAGGGAAAAUACAAAGUAACAAUAUGAUUGGUUCAAACUAAGCUGAAUGAAAAUAUAUAAAAUGUCAAUCCUACGCACCUAGAUGUUGCUUCACACCCUGAUAGAAAAAAUCAAUGCAGCAAUGGGUACAUCCAAAAGAGACAAGGUGCAGGACAGUGUCAAGGAACGCUGUUGUACAACACAUCGUCACCAGCCUAAAGCCAUAGGCUAGUCAUUUGUGUUAGUGAUUGUGGCCUCUGUUUUACAGAUCAUGUUGCAUAGAACAAUUAUAAUAUUGUUACCAAGUUAGGCAGUUUUGAAUAAAUUGUUUUGAAUAAAUUCCUGGGAAUUUACAAAGACAAAAUUCCAAAUUUUCAAGACUCUUAAUCUGGUACCAUGGCAAAGAUUAGUUACUGGCAGUCAAUUGAAAGAGAAAAGUUAGUUCCCUACAGAUAUGUUGAAGCAUCUGCAAAAGAUUGUCCCGGUAGAUAUUAUACAGAGGUUUGUUUCAUAUAUUCUGUUUUAGUAUAUGAGCAAGGUUUAAACAAAAUAAAGGUCCCUACUGAGAGAUCUAGGAGUCAAUGAAGCAAACAGAGCAUCUACACGAAAUAUAUUGGCAUGUGACACAAAAAAGAAGCUGCUGUAACAGGCAUACAGGACAUGCUAGAGCACAACAGCUAUACUAUCCAACAAGGCAACAAGCAUCAGAAAUUACCUAGCACAUUGAAUUUUGAGCAGGGCCCGAAGAACUAAUAAGCUUGGCAGGCACACAGCAGAAAGCUAGAAACAGAGCAUGGCACCGUCCAUAAUCCCGCAACCUGUGAACACGACAAAUCCUAUCAAUGAGCCAACCCAGGUAGCACAACUUUAUCGAUCCUGAACGCUCAACUGCAUAUAUCGUUAAUAAAGCGAAACCCUCACAGGCAAUCGGUUGGCAGAUCAAACUGGACGCGGCAAGGGCCAACGGCCACCGGCUUGAGAUGCGGCCGUAAUGGGCGCCCGACCGGAGAGGUCAUGGAUGACCGCGUCGGCGGGGAGAUCCACGCCGCAGGCUAGACGUCGUGGACGGCGGACAGCGGCCUCGGCGCAGAGGAGGACGCCGUGGGCAGGCACCGAUCGGUUGUCCCCCUAAAGCGGCGGCGCCAUUGGAAGCCGCAGACAGCGAGGCCGUGGAAGCCACGGCGCGCCUUCGUAAGAGAGGAGGCGGAGGCGGAGGCGGAGGCGGCAUGGGGGGUGGUGAAGGGUGAGGGGAGGAGGACGCCGUCGCCCGGCGUAGGGUUUGGACUUUGAAGGAAGCGGCGACGAUAGAUACGGAGGAGGAGAACGAAUGGCGGAGAAGAGCGGCCGCCGCCGGCGACGAGAGAGCUUCGUGGCCGUUUCGAUCCGUCUUCCUGUCGGCCCAACAGGCCAACAGGCUCAACUACUGGGCCGGCCUCGGUUUGAGCCCACGGCAUCUCCGCGCGGGCGAAUCUGGAAGAGAGUCCACGCGUGCGAUGGGAUGGGGCUCGCACGGACUCUCAUGUGUCGCGUCGUGUUCGUGUCCCGUCGCCGCCGCAAACGCUGCGUCGGCCGUGGUGAGCCGAUGACGCAGCACGAGCUUCCUCGAUCCCAUCCACUCCGGUCGCACGUGUCAGCUCCUCCCGACACGCGUCCCGCUCCGGCGCCGCCACGGCAACGUCAACGUCAAACCCCGGCCGCCCACCGCCAAUUUAUAAGCCUCCCGCCGAUCACGCUACAGCCCAUCACCAAGCCAAAACCGCAAGCCACUACCAGCGAUCAGGUCACACUACUACUAUUACGCCCAAUCCAACACAGCAACCACGCUCUGCUCUUAGCUCUCGCCGGCAAGCUCGCUCGCCGCAAUGGCGUCGCAGCAACAGCCCAGGAAGCAGGCCACCAACCGGGCCCAGGAGGAGGUAGGAGGAGGCCAACAAGGCCAGGCGAUGAACCUGGAGGAGAUCGGCAAGUACCGCUCCGAGGCGCAGCAGCGGUCGGCCGACGCCAUCCGCGCCGCCGAGGAGCGCUUCAACAAGGCCAACAACAAUCAGGCGCCCAGCGCCGCCACCGUGGUCUCGUAUCAGGAGACCACGAGGCAGCCCGCGGCGAAGCAGCAGGGUGAGAGCCACGGCCACGGCGUGGGACACGGCUCCGAGCCGCAGCAGUGGCUGGCGGAAACCGCCGCCGAUGCCAGGGAGAGGUGCAACAAGGCAAUGGGGACGAGCCCCGCCGCCGCGCACGGCGGCAAGGCGUCGCCGGCCGGCCACGCGCCGGCGGGCGCGGCGCCUCCGCACCAACAGGGAAGGAGGGAGCAGGAGGGCGGCGGUCAAGCCCGCGCCCACCUGACGCGGCAGGAGGAGAUGCCUGACAGGAGGUCGGCCGCGGAAGCCGCGAGCGCCGCGGUGGAGAGGCACGACAGGGGCGGCGGGGAGGCCUCCGCGGGGCAGGGCGUUAAGGAGAAGGCCGCGCGCGCGGCCGGCGCCAAGGCGAAGGGCGCCGAGGCCAAGGACGCCGGCGCCCGGGGCGCGCAGGCCGCGGCGGGGAAGGCCCAGGAGGCCUCGGGGGCGGCGGCCGACCGCACCAAGCAGGCGGCCGCGACGGCGAAGGACGCCACGGCCGGCGCGGCCGGGACGACCGCCGAGUACGCGAGGCAGGCGGCGGCGAAGGCCAAGGACGUGACGCUGGGCACCAGGGAGACGGCGGCCGAGUACGCGAAGCAGGCCGCGGCAAAGGGCAAGGACGUGUCGGUGACCGCCGCCGGGACGGCGGCGGAGUACGCGAAGCAGGCGGCGGUGAAGGGCAAGGACGUGACGGUGAGCGCCGGCGGGACGGCGGCGGAGUACGCCAGGGCCGCGGCGGAGAAGGCGAAGGAGGCGGCGGUGGCUACCGCGAGGACGACGGCCGGGUACACGCAGCAGGCGGCGGCCAAGGCGACGGAGAUGACGGCGGACACCGCGCGCAAGGUGGCGGAGUACGCCAGGGAGAAGGCGGAGCAGGGCAAGGAGCGCCAGGCGGAGGAGCCCCGCGAGGACGUGGCGUGGGAGGCGGCGGGCAAGGCCCGCCACAUGACCGGGCAGCACGAGGACACGACCGGCGCCAUGGCGCGCAGGGUGGGGGACACCGCUGGGCAAGCCAAGGACAUGGUGAAGGACGUGACGGGAUCCAUGGCGCAGAAGGCGAGCGACACGGCGGGGCGCGCCAAGGACACGGCGAUGGACGCGGCCGGCAGCGUGGCGCAGAGGUCGAGGGACACCGCUGCCGAGGCCGGGGACAAGACGAAGGACGCCACCUCACACGCGGAGCACAAGGCAGGGGAGGUUAAGGACAAAGCAUCGGGGACCGGCAAGGCCGACGGCUGUGGCGGCGGUGUCACGACGAAGGCGAAGGUAUGUGCGCGCCUGGCGUCCGGUCAUGUGUGUUGGGGUGCCGUGUCUUUUGAAGUGUGUGCGUAGCUGACGGCUCAGUUGUGAUGCAGGGCGGCGGCGGCGAGGACACGACGGUAGUGGGCGACGUCCUGGAAACGGUGGGCGCGAUGGUGGUCGGGCUGGCGCAGCACACCAAGGGGCUCAUCGCCGGCGAGGAGGAGCUCGUCCCCGUCGAAGGUGGCGAGGAGGGAAAGGUCACCGAGGCAAGGAAGGAGGAGAAGCGCAAGACCGCUUGAUGAUGCGAUCGUUGCUCUGCUUCUAGGCUUUGCCGGCAAAGUUUGGGUUCGCCGUGUACUGGUUCCGCCUUCCGCGACACGUCCAGCUGCGUAUAGUAGAAUAACGUUGCCGGUGUACGUGCGUCGCCAUCUCCUUUUAAACAAGGAGAGCUGCCAGAGAGCGGCCAAUUAUAUUUGAAAAAGAAUAAGGCAAACUCCGGUCGGUUGCCAUGUCACAGUGUGAUCCUGUGCAUGCACGACGCUGUGAUCGUGUCAACCUGCUAUGUGCUCUUAUGUACUCGUAUAGUCCUAUGUAUUUGUACAUGUUUGGAUGCCGUCUCCGUUUUCUGCCUAUGUGCUUUGGAGCCAGGUAGGAAAGCAUAAUAAGUUUUAUUUCUUUCUUUUAAAAUAAAAGUAUAGAUGCGUACACAGUUUCCUGCACAUGCGUUUUAGGAUAAGGCAGGAAGCCAGUAUAAAUUUUAUUUUAUUCUCAAAAAACAUGGAAUGUCUAUUUAUGUACAGUUUCCUGAACGUACGCUUUAGGAUAAGGCAGGAAACCAGUAUAAUUUUUAUUUUAUUCUCAAUGUCCAACUGUCGACAGAGAGGUAAAAUUAGACUUUUAGAGGUAAAAUUAGAAAAUUUUUGUAGUAUUAUGAGGUUGUUCUGCAAUGUUGUAGGUACUACCUUUGAAAUAUCGUAAAAUAGCCUAUACAACGGCAGAAUUUUUUAUUAUUCCUUUCCUAAAAAUCAUGAAAUAUUUUGGAACACAUAAUAAUGUUUGUAACGUCAGAUGAUAUCAUUUGGAAUAUAGAAAAAUUUUGAUUGAUUUUUCUAAAAAUAUGUUCCUUUCCUAAAAAUCAUGAAAUAUUUUAAAACAUCACAUAAUAACAUCAGAGGACAUCAUUUGGAACAUAGAAAAAAUUUGAUUGAUUUUUUCUAAAAAUAUGUUAACAGAUAGAUGGUAUUUCUCAACAAACAUAUAUAGUUUUCUGGGUAGGAAACUAUAACAACCUUUGCAAAACAGAAUGGUAUAUGGAUGCAUAUGUACAGUUUUCUACCUAUGCGUUUUGGAACUAAGCUGGAGUUCAAUGAGCAGGUCAGCUCAUAAUGGGCUAAUGGGUUUUGGUUCCGGCUAAUGGGCUUCAACGUGUUGAGUCAUAAUUGUAAGCAGGCUUUGUACAGUUGGUGAGCCCGCUACUCUUUCCAGCCAAGCUGGUCCAACAUGCGAAGAUAAGAUCGUCUUCUACCUUGAGAUCCAUUCUUCAUUUAUACUGUCCAAAACUAGUGGGGCGAGGGGAGAGGUGGUUCGCAGGCAAGCCCCCUAAUCCAACAUUGCCCGCGUGGCUUGGUGACUACAGUUAGCGCGUCCGUUUGUGAACCGUAAGUGUACGGAUCAUCGUACCUUUUCUAUUAGCAUGUUCCAUCUAAGAUUUAUCAAUUCAUGGAUCGGCAACAAACUAGCUAAGGUUUCUAUCUAGUCUAACGGAUCAAUCCUUACAUGAAACGUUGAUUGCAUAUGAGGGAUAAACCUGAUGUAAAGAUGAAUGAUAAGAACACAGGUUGAUCAUAUCCACAAAUACAUAUAAGAUAACACCACCAAGGGUAACAAGAGCCUAUCGCCUUCUAGUUACAAAUCUAGCCAAUAAGCAAGCAUAUCAUGCAUCUUAUCCAAAAUAAUCUCUAAACUACUACCUCCGGUUAACCUCUCGAAAACUCCCAUCUUACACGAAAGCAGACACUGUCACGAUCCCUCUAUCAGCACAUGCAGUUUAAGGGCACAACCACAAGUGAACGUGUCUAAGCAUCAUGAAAAUGUCAACAUAUCAGAUCUAAUCUCCAUGAUUACAUAAGGCAUGCUAUGUAGUUUAAUUUAGAAUUAGACUAAGGAACAAGCAUAUUCACGAUAGAUGAAAAGUAUAAAAGGAGGCAUUGAGUCGCUAACAGAUCAGAUGACAUAAAUAGCAUUGCUCACAUAAUAGAUGUAUUAGAUCAUAACCUCCGAGUACAUACCAGCUCCUGAACUCCACCAUAGUACAACUGCCUGCGUAGGGAGGUCAUGGCGGCUAGGGUUUGGCCUAAGUCAUUUCCUAGAUAACUUUGAAGACUUGCAGCGGCCAUAAGCUCCCUUUGGUGAAUGCCCUAGGUUUCACCAACUUCUGGUGGAUGGAUGCGCAUGUCGAUGGAGAAUGGGCAUAUUUGGGGGCGAAGGGCACGUCGAUCGGAGUCAAAAAUGGGCCAGGCUCAUCGGCCCAGGACCUAGGAGAUUUCACCACCUUGCUGACCUCAAAUGCCAAAACUUUAUAUGCGAAAGUUGUAGAUCAUUUUGAGCUAUGCAGUUUAGAUACCAAAUUUGCUCCAAUCGGAGUUCGGAUGAGGGAGAUAUGCCUUGUGUAAGAUCUGCUGCUUCCGCGACCCUUCUGACUUUCCAAUCUUGAGGAUCUUUCAGCUUGACCACGAGAUUGACAUGUCAAAUCACCACAUACUUCACCUCUAAGUCAUCCGGAAUGAUGGUUCGUCGAAUGUGGAUGCAUUAGGAGGAUGAAUUGGGCCAGCCCGAUAGGCCUAUGGGUCCUAGACCGAUUGGCCUACCCUCUUUUAGGCUCCUCCGGUCCUCAUCUUUCUCGUGUAGACUCCUUGUGUUGUCCAAAGUCCAGGUCCAAAUCAAACCCGUACAAAAGCGCCACUUUAUGUCGUAUUUCUUGCCAUUUUGCAAUGUAGUGCAAAAUAUAACAUAUAUACGAAUAUGGAGUUAUUUCAGGUGCCAAGUGGCGGGUUAGUAUAAGAUUUAGUCCAAAAACACUAGUUAAAUAGCACUAAAAACGUGGCAAUAAUGAGCGCCAACGGACCCUAUUAUUGUUAAUUAAAGAGCAUGAACCAUGAGGAAACUUGUGUCUCUCCAUUAAAUAGUGGAUGAACAAAUUUAUACAGCAGCCAAGUAGGUGAUCAUGGGAAAAAACAUUAGUCCCUACAAGUUUUGGAAAAACAAAUGAGAAUCUCUUUUAUCAUAACUUGUGUACGUAGCAAGCCUAUUUAGCAUGAAUUAGCCGUUGUCAUGAGUUCAAUGAACCAGUUUACUGAUAUUAAUGCCAUGAAAAGUAUAUAUAUUUGAUAACAAAAGGGCCU
rnacentral:lncRNA from 1 species